rnacentral:rRNA from 1 species
GACGAACGCUGGCGGCGUGCCUAACACAUGCAAGUCGAACGGAGCUAAGUUUUCGGAUUUAGCUUAGUGGCGGACGGGUGAGUAACGCGUGAGCAACCUGACUUUCCGAGGGGGAUAACACCGAGAAAUUGGUGCUAAUACCGCAUAAGACCACGGUGCCGCAUGGCAAAGGGGUCAAAGGAGAAAUCCGCGGAGAGAGGGGCUCGCGUCCCAUUAGAUAGUUGGCGGGGCAACGGCCCACCAAGUCAACGAUGGGUAGCCGAGCUGAGAGGCUGAUCGGCCACACUGGAACUGAGAAACGGUCCAGACUCCUACGGGAGGCAGCAGGGGGGAAUAUUGGGCAAUGGGCGCAAGCCUGACCCAGCAACGCCGCGUGAGGGAAGAAGGCUUUCGGGUUGUAAACCUCUGUCCUUGGUGACGAAAAAAAUGACGGUAGCCAAGGAGGAAGCCCCGGCUAACUACGUGCCAGCCGCCGCGGUAAUAC